CAAACUAGAAAGGGGUGACCGGAUUGAGCUUCUUGUUGACAAAACAGCAACAAUGCAAGACAGUGCUUUUCAUUUUAAGAAACAGUCUAGGCGCCUCAGCCGUGCUCUUUGGAUGAAAAAUGUCAAGCUGUUGGCCUUGUCGACAUGCUUGAUUGUUGUGCUUCUGUACAUAAUAAUUGCUGCUUCUUGUGGAGGAAUCACUCUACCAUCCUGCAGAUCAUAAUGUCCAGCUUUGUAACUUUCAAUUUCUGCUGAGUACAUAUGCACAUGAUUUCAGAAAUGACGCGCGUCACAUUACACUUGAAGAGUGCCUUAGCUGUUUCAUGGUUCAGAUUUCCAAGGAGUGUUUGGAACUAUAUUCUCUCUCAAAGGUAGCGCAAAUUAUUCCGUUGAUUCUUGCAUUUUGUUUCAUUCGAUGUGUGCUUAUCGCGGGGAGCUUGAUGAAUAGUUAUGAUAUUAUUGCUGAUCAUCUCUGUAUUUUGUAGGAACUAUGGUUUUCUUCUUUGUAUUUUAUUGGUUAUUGUCAAUGCUCCGAUUAUGCUUUUUGUAAUUUCACAUCAUAAGUUUCUAGAUAUAAGAGCCUAGUGAGUACAACAAAUUUCAUUUCAAUUUGUUGUCAAUUCAAAAUCUGUUCCAUUUGUGACCAACUAUCAUGCAUAGUCAGAUGUGCCAGUGCUCAUGAAACCUUCCACUGAUUAAAUAAUUUGAUAUACCCUUUUUAUUUA